AUGGCUGAAUCAGUAAAUUUGACUGUUUACUAUGGCCCUGGUAAUGUCCGAUAUAAUAAGUUGGGGGUUGAUCUUAGCGAGUAUAAAAAUGGCGUCGUGACACUUUCAAAUCCGGACAGACUGGACAUUAGACAGUUGAAGUACUGGUUGAUUACUAGUUUUCGGCUGGAUCUUGAAGUAUGUUCGGUCAGUAUUCAUGCAUUGUGGACCAAAUCAUGUAAAAAUGUCAAGUGGGAGUUGAUGCUGAUAGAUAGGAGUCAGCAAUGGUUGACCCUGUUAAAGCGUUGCAGAGAUCGAAGAAUCCACCCAUGUGCCCUAGUGCAAAGGAGGAGAAUACCGUACAACUCCACGGGGGGCAUGAACCCGGCCAGGGCAGUCAAGUGGCUAACGAGAUUUAUUUAUCCGGGUCACAACCACUAG
rnacentral:rRNA from 1 species